UUCCUUCCUUCCUUCCUUCCCGCCCGCUCCGUCCGUGUGGGGUCCCGCUCCUCGGGGGCUUCCUCGCGCCCUGUUCUCUGAGCCCAAAGGCGCGCGGGCAAAGGGAGGCAAGGGCUCGCGCUGCGUCCCAGGUAAGGCCAGGUGUCUGCCGGGCCCGCCCUCGCUGACUCAGGCAGGCCGCCGGAAAGUUUCUUCGCGCAGGGCUCGGCUUCCUGAGCCCGGCACUCCCUCCCCUCCUGCCUCGCCCCGCCACUCACUCACUCACUCUGACUGACUGACUGACCUCCGCGGCGGGACAGGCUUCGGCAAGGCGGAGAAGAGCGGCUCCACCUUCAGCAGAAGAAGCCUAAGGAAGGGAGAGAAAAGGAGGCUGAAGCCCCUUUGUUUUCGCUUCACAAGGCAGCGGCAGUGGCGGGAACGCGCAUGCACGUGCUUGAGAGAAUUACAAACUUGGUAGACUGGAGAAAGUGUUCCUAUGGAAAUAAGUCUCUUAAGAAAAUCCUACAUAAUAUUUUUGCAGACUGGGAAAUAUGACUAGAUGAUUCUAAAAUUAGAUGGGUUGUUGCUUGAUGGAUCAAACCGAAAGAGUGCUCACUGAUAGUACCUUAUCAUCAUGAGAAGAACUGGGUUGCUGGAGAGUGAUGCAGGCGGACCAGAACCAAAGAAAGAAAGAAAGAAAGAAAGAAAGAAAGAAAGAAAGAAAGAAAGAAAGAAAGAAAGAAAGAAAGAAAGAAAGAAAGAAAGAAAGAAAGAAAGAAAGAAAGACAAAGAAAGAAAGAAAGACUUUUCAACCCACAUGUACAAAUAUAGGUUGGGUGACAUCUGGUUUGAUAGCACAACAUGUGAAAGGGACAUAGAUGUCUUAGUAAACCACAAAAUAAACAUGAGUCCACUACUGUAGAAACAAAAAAAGCUGAUGUGGUUUCAAGAUCAUCAAGUGGGGUUCCAUGGGCAACUUGGAUUCAAACCAUAGUCUCCAGCGUUAUACCCUAACACACAAGUCAUACACCUUCUGGCUCUUUUAAGAAAAGCAAUACUGUUCCAAUAUUCUUUUUUGGGUAGAUAUCACCUAGAGUACUGUAUCUAGUUUGGGAACAUUGACAUCUUAAAACAUAUCAAAGGAAAGCAACCCACAUAAGUAAAGAUCUGAAAACCAAGUCCAGUGAGAAAUGGUUGAUAAAGCUAAAUAUGUUUCACCUGAGAA